rnacentral:lncRNA from 1 species
GAUGCUAAGGAAUCCGAGGGAUGAAAAAAAUUAAGAGAUUGCAAUGAUGUCACAAAACAAGGAAACAAGGCAGGAGAGAGUCCAUGAAAUUGGGGGGAGUCCAAAGAGGGAGUGUUUCUGUCCUUGGAACUCACCUUUUCUUCUCUCCAUUUCUCCUCUUCUCCUUCCCAUCUAGUGCAGCAUCUUCACUCCGAAGCAGAAAUUUGCCAAAAAAGCAUCCUCUUUUUAUCAGAAAAUAAAAUAUCCUGGUUUCUUAGCCUGGCAAUUGAGCUAAUCAGUGGAAUCAAGGGAAACUUUUUUGUUUGAGAUGGAGUCUCCCUCUGUCACCCAGGCUGGAGUGCAGUGGCACAGUCUUGGCUUACUGCAACCUCCACCUCCCGGGUUCAAGUGAUUCACCUGCCUCACCUUCCGGAGUAGCUGGGGUUACAAGCAUUCCUGAGACCACAGGCGUGUGCCACCAUGGCUAGCUAAUUUUUGUAUUUUAUUUUUGUAGAGACAGGGUUUUGCCAUGCUGCCUAGGCUGGUCUCAAACUCCUGGGCUCAAGUGAUCCACCCACCUGGCAAACGUCUAUGAAUUCCAUCAGAGGGCCUUACUGUGAAUGUAGGUUCUGUCCAGGAAGCUGUCCAGGAAGCUGUGAGAUCUUGGGCAAGUUACAUAUCUCUCUGUCUUUCAGUUUCUUGCGGUGGCUCACGCCUGUAAUCCCAGCACUUUGGGAGGCCGAGGCGGGCGGAUCACGAGGUCAAGAGAUCAAGACCAUCCUGGCCAACAUGGUGAAACCCCAUGUCUACUAAAAAUACAAAAAUGAGCCAGGUGUGGUGAUAUGUGCCUAUAGUCCCAGCUACUUGGGAGGCUGAGGCAGGAGAAUUGCUUGAACCUGGGAGGUGGGGGUUGCAGUGAGCCGAGAUUGCGUGACUGCACUCUAGCCUGGGCGACAGAGCAAGACUCU